AGAGUUUGAUCCUGGCUCAGAAUCAACGCUGGCGGCGUGCCUAACACAUGCAAGUCGAACGCGAAAGUCCCGAAAGGGAUGAGUAGAGUGGCAAACGGGUGAGUAACACGUGGGUGACCUGCCCUCGAGCGGGGGAUAACGUCCCGAAAGGGACGCUAAUACCGCAUAACAUCCUGCCUUUGAAGAGGCGGUGAUCAAAGCUGGGGAUCGCAAGACCUAGCACUCGAAGAGGGGCCCGCGUCCGAUUAGCUAGUUGGUGGGGUAAUGGCCCACCAAGGCAACGAUCGGUAGCCGGCCUGAGAGGGCGGACGGCCACACUGGGACUGAGACACGGCCCAGACUCCUACGGGAGGCAGCAGUGGGGAAUUGUUCGCAAUGGGCGCAAGCCUGACGACGCAACGCCGCGUGGAGGAUGAAGACCUUCGGGUCGUAAACUCCUUUCGAUCGAGA
rnacentral:rRNA from 1 species